ensembl:snRNA U2 U2 spliceosomal RNA
AAAUUGCGGCCUUUUGGCUAGGAUCAAGUGUAGUAUCUGUUCUUAUCAGUUUAAUAUAUUAGAAAUUAAAGCAGUGUGCAGCUUUCAAUUUCUAUGAUAUUUUCUAAGAGAAUAAUAAAAGAAUGUAAAACUAAC